AAUUUCCCUGCCUCAGAGUCACUACUCGAGUCCCUCGCCUGCUCUGUGUAAAGCCCCAGCCAAAAAAGCACACCUGCAUUAACUCUGCUGCACAUAAUUUAUUGAGCUAGUUGCAUCACAAUACUUUUUCUUUUGUUUCCCAUUACCAGCAAAACAGAAGUUAUCCUAGCAUAGCCAUCCUACAUGUUGGUUUUUAAUCGCCAUUAUGCUGAGCAGACAAGGCAGAUGCUACUCUAUGGCCUGUACCAUAGGCACCUAUGAAGAUUUUUCUCCAGUCAGAAGAGCUGUUUGAAAGAGCGGAAAGGUCUCCGAAGCACUUGCCCGCUACUAGGAGGCAGUGAUUUAACUCCCUGUUCAACUUCAGCUACUGCUCACCAGCCAGCUGGGAGACUUUUGUGCGGUGCCCACAGACCGGCUUUGGGAAGCUACAUCGCUGGAGUCGCCUGGGAAGGUGUCUGGAAGUUGCUUACAUUUUAAAUGUUUGACAGCAUCAGCUUCUGGUCUCUGCUACAGGCUUGCAUGGUGCUAGGUCUCUACGGGCAACUUAUGACAACAGAGCUUGCCACACCCGAAACCUUCAUGACAAGAAAAGCUGAGAAGGAGCACAAUGGAAAAGGACGCUGA
rnacentral:lncRNA from 1 species